GACGAACGCUGGCGGCGCGCCUAACACAUGCAAGUCGAACGAGCGAGAGAGAGCUUGCUUUCUAGAGCAAGUUGCGAACGGGUGAGUAACGCGUGAGUAACCUGCCUCAAAGAGGGGGACAACAAUUGGAAACGACUGCUAAUACCUCAUAAGUCCACGCCUCGGCAUCGAGCAUGGGGAAAAGGAGCAAUCCGCGUUGAGAUGGCCACACGUCCGUUUAGAUCGUUAGUGAGGUAACGGCCCACCAAGGCGACAAUCGGUAGCCGGAGUGAGAGGUUGAACGGACACAUUGGGACUGAGACACGGCACAGACUCCUACGGGAGGCAGCAGUGGGGAAUAUUGCAAAAUGGGGGAAACCCUGAUGCAGCGACGCCGCGUGGAGGAAGAAGGUAUCCGGAUUGUAAACUCCUGUUGUUGGGGAAGAUAAAGACGGUACCCAACAAGGAAGUGACGGCUAACUACGUG
rnacentral:rRNA from 1 species